rnacentral:rRNA from 1 species
UGGGAAGUAUUGCACAAUGGGCGGCAAGCCAUGACUGCAGCCAUGCCGCGUGUAUGAAGAAGGCCAAUUCGGGGCUUUGGUUAAAGAUACUUUCAGCGAGGAGGAAGGCGAUAAGGUUAAUAACCUUGUCGAUUGACGUUACUCGCAGAAGAAGCACCGGCUAACUCCGUGCCAGCAGCCGCGGUAAUACGGAGGGUGCAAGCGUUAAUCGGAAUUACUGGGCGUAAAGCGCACGCAGGCGGUCUGUCAAGUCGGAUGUGAAAUCCCCGGGCUCAACCUGGGAACUGCAUCCGAAACUGGCAGGCUAGAGUCUUGUAGA